CCUUAGCUCAGUUGGCCAGAGCAGACGGCUCAUAACCGUCCGGUCGUAGGUUCGAGUCCUACAGGGUA
rnacentral:tRNA from 1 species